GAUGAACGCUGGCGGCGUGCCUAAUACAUGCAAGUCGAGCGAACGGACGAGAAGCUUGCUUCUCUGAUGUUAGCGGCGGACGGGUGAGUAACACGUGGAUAACCUACCUAUAAGACUGGGAUAACUUCGGGAAACCGUAGCUAAUACCGGAUAAUAUUUUGAACCGCAUGGUUCAAAAGUGAAAGACGGUCUUGCUGUCACUUAUAGAUGGAACCGCGCUGCAUUAGCUGGUUGGUAAGGUAACGGCUUACCAAGGCAACGAUGCAUAGCCGACCUGAGAGGGUGAUCGGCCACACUGGAACUGAGACACGGUCCAGACUCCUACGGGAGGCAGCAGUAGGGAAUCUUCCGCAAUGGGCGAAAGCCUGACGGAGCAACGCCGCGUGAGUGAUGAAGGUCUUCGGAUCGUAAAACUCUGUUAUUAGGGAAGAACAUAUGUGUAAGUAACUGUGCACAUCUUGACGGUACCUAAUCAGAAAGCCACGGCUAACUACGUG
rnacentral:rRNA from 1 species